AGCACUCUUUCUUUGGCACUGGCAUUGAAUUGACACAAAAUUGUCAGAUUGCAAGAUGAAGAAAACACAAAAGCCAAAAGGUAGAGCAAAACUACAAUUUUUUGAGUUUUAAGUAGAGUAUGUCCGAAAUGGGAAGGUUUGAGAAAUUAUACAAAGAGAGUGCAGAUUCGUUGUAAGCAAAUAAACAUUCAAAGCUCCCAUUCCAUUCAUCUUCUUUUCGGGGAAGUGAAAUGGCCGAGGCGGUUGUUUCCGGUGUGGUGACAAGGAUUGGUGACUUGCUCGUACAAGAAGGAAAAUUCUUGUCCGGGGUGAGUAACCAAGUUGAGCUGCUACAAAUUGAGCUCAAACUUAUGCAAGGCUUAUUAAAGGAUGCAGAUGCAAGGCAGAAUGAGUCAGAGCUUGUAAGGCAGUGGGUUGCUGAAAUAAGAGAUCUUGCUUAUGAUGCAGAUGAUAUCAUUGCCACUCAUGCCCACACAGUUGGAUCCAGAAAGGGAGGAGGUGUACAAAAGGUUCUCGAGAGGUGCAGUCGCAUCUUGGAUGAAGGAAUUACAGUGCACCACGUUGGGUCAAAGAUUGAAGAUAUCAUGAUAAAAAUUUCUAACUUGAAAACAAGUUUUCAAGGCUAUGGCAUAAGGGAAUCUAUGAUAAAAGGAGGUGGAUCCAGUUCUUUUAAUGAGAGGCAACGAGAGCAAAGGCAAACAUUUUCUCAUCUUGAACAUGACGUUGUUGGGUUUGACGAUGACUUGAAUAAAUUGGUGGAGUUUUUGCUUAAAGAAGGCGAAGACAGCAGAGUAGCUUCCAUAUGUGGUAUGGGUGGUUUGGGAAAGACCACUCUUGCUAAGAUGGUUUAUAAUUACCGCGAAGUCAAGCAACACUUUGAUUGUCAUGCUUGGGUAUAUAUUUCACAACAAUGUCAAAGAAGACGUGUUUGGGAAGAAAUUUUGAUUAGCCUUCUGUCUAAAGAUCAAAGGGAUGAAAUUCAAAAGUUGAAGGAUGCAGAGAUUGUUGAGAAACUUCGUCAAGUUCAAUGCGAGAAAAAGUGUUUGGUGAUUUUAGACGAUAUUUGGAACAUUGAGGCCUGGAACAGUGUACAGGAAGCCUUCCUAGUGAGGAGUACUGGUAGCAAAAUAUUGCUUACCUCUCGUAAUAAACAAGUGUGUUUGCAUGUAGACCCCAGAAGUUUCCUUUGUGAAUUGCAAUCUCUAAAUGAAGAAAGGAGUUGGGAAUUACUUGACAAGAUAGCAAUAUCUUGGAGAGAAGACUGUGUGACCAAAACUUACAUGAAGAAGUUUGGAAAGGAAAUGAUUGGAUAUUGUGGGGGUUUGCCAUUGGCCAUCACUGUACUUGGAGGUCUUUUAGCAGCAAAGCAAACACAGGAAGAAUGGGAGGAUGUGCUUAGACAUAUCAAAUCAUACCUUCAUGUAGAACAAAACUUAAGAGUCAACAAAGUUUUAGCUUUAAGCUAUAAUGAUUUACCUUGUCACUUGAAACCAUGCUUUCUAUAUUUAGGUCAUUUUCCAGAGGAUUUUGAGAUACCGACAAAAGAAUUGAUUCGGAUGUGGAUGGGAGAAGGUUUUGUAUCGGAAAUUCAGCACAAUAGAGGAAGAGAGGAUACAAUGGAUGAUGUGGGACACCGAUAUUUAAGGGAGCUAGUGCAAAGAUGCAUGGUUUUGGUGGGGAAAAUGGGCUCACUUGGAAGGAUUAAAACUUGUCGAAUGCAUGAUCUUAUGCGAGACUUUUGUGUAUCAAAGGCCCAAGAGGAAAAUUUUCUCCAUAUUACCAAUAUUCUUUCCUUGGAACGGCGUGAAGCGCAAAACUGUAAGGUUCGAAGACUUGCUAUCAUUUUGGAAUCAAAUGAUUAUUACAUCACGGGAAUUAAAUUCAGUGAAUAUCCAUACCUCAGGUCUCUUCUCUACCUUCUGCCUCUACCUUAUGAAAAUAAUUUGAUUCAAAGUUAUUCUGAUUUUAAAGAAUCAUGUUUCAAGAAAUUCAAGUUGGUUAGAGUCUUACAUCUGGAACGUUUUCGAAAACACGGCCGCAAAUUAUCUAAAGACAUUGGAUGUCUCAUCCACUUGAGAUAUUUAUCUCUCAAAAAUAGCAAUAUAAAUAAGGUGUCGACAUCUAUUGGCAAUUUGAGGUGCCUGGAGACACUAGAUUUGCGAAUCGCCUCCAAACCAAGAGUGCCAAAUGUGUUCAAGUAUAUGAAACAAUUGAAACAUCUUUAUUUACCUUGGAGAUAUAGGGUAUGUUGUAAGUUGGAAUUGGGUAAUCUUAGUUAUUUGCAAACAUUGGUGAAUGUUAAGCCCAAAACCAUCCAAAUUCCCACAUGGUUCAAAUUCAACCUUCUUCGGGUUCUUAAAGUGAAGAAUAAAAAAGGGGCCCAAGAUGCAAUACAAAUGCUAAUAUCAAGGUGUCCACUUAUAGAAAAGCUACAUCUACGUAAACAUUUAAAGAAGCUUCCAGAAGCUCACCAAUUCUCUCCAAAUCUAGCCAAGUUGACUUUAUCGGGGACUAAACUUGAGGAAGACCCAAUGGAAACGUUAGAGAAGUUACCCAACUUAAAAAUCCUCUGCUUCCGUCAUGCGUUGGAGAAGAUAUCCAGACACACAUACGUUGGAUGUGCAACCUUUACUGGGAAGAAUAUGGUUUGUUCUGAAAGAGGAUUUCCUCUGCUUCAAUCUCUUCUCCUUUCUCACUUGUACGACUUAGAGGAGUGGAGGGUGGAGGAAGGAGCCAUGCCCAGUCUCUGCCGUUUGGAAAUUGAAUUUUGCGAUCAAUUGAAGAUGGUCCCUGAUGGAUUGAGGUUCAUCACAACCCUCCAGCAAUUGGAGAUCAAAAAAAUGUCAAAGUCAUUCAAAGACAGGCUUAACGAAGGAGGACCAGAUUUUGACAAAGUCAAACAUGUGCCUUCCCUUGUAUUUCAAAGAUGGGACUACUGAUAAUCUUUACCUAACAAGGUGAAAUCGUCCAUGGUCUAAUAUGCUUGCACAGAUUCAUCAAACAUAUUCUCCGAUGCCUAUGUGUAGUGAUGUGAAAUCAUCCAUGGUUUGCUACUGGUAUGGGUUAGUGUCAGUUAUACAAUUUCAAGGAUAUGAUUGCACCGACUCAUUAAACAUAUUCUCUGAUGCCUAUGUGUAGUGAUGUAAAGAAUUGUUUGUUUGGUGAUGGUACUCUGCGUUGUGAUAUUUUAUUGGGUGGUUUGUUUGCAUUAGUGUGUUUGUUUUAGUGUUUCUUUCUUGCUCCGCUUUGCUGCUCUGCUAUGAUUGCACUCUUUGUUCAUGUAUUAUGUUGUAUAAGAGAAACCAAUGUAUCACUGGAGGAGAAAAAUAAUUCUUCAUUUAAUGUGGGAUUCCUCAUAUUUCUUCAA